rnacentral:rRNA from 1 species
UAGGGAAUCUUCCGCAAUGGGCGAAAGCCUGACGGAGCAACGCCGCGUGAGUGAUGAAGGUCUUCGGAUCGUAAAACUCUGUUAUUAGGGAAGAACAAAUGUGUAAGUAACUAUGCACGUCUUGACGGUACCUAAUCAGAAAGCCACGGCUAACUACGUGCCAGCAGCCGCGGUAAUACGUAGGUGGCAAGCGUUAUCCGGAAUUAUUGGGCGUAAAGCGCGCGUAGGCGGUUUUUUAAGUCUGAUGUGAAAGCCCACGGCUCAACCGUGGAGGGUCAUUGGAAACUGGAGAGCUUGAGUGCAGAAGAGGAAAGUGGAAUUCCAUGUGUAGCGGUGAAAUGCGCAGAGCUAUGGAGGAACACCAGUGGAGAAGGAGACUUUCUGGUCUGUUACUGACGCUGAUGAGCGAAAGCGUGGGGAUAAAACAUG